AUGUCGUCGAAGGUCUCUCCCCUCCACGGGGUAGUGGACGCCCGCCGGUGGGACGCCGAGCGCAUCCUGGGCCGUCUAGUGAUCGUGGUCCACGCCGCCUUCCUCGACGCGGGCUUCAUCGUCUCCCGCCCCCACCGUCGGGAUCGGGAUCUGUCGUCUACCUGCUGGCUUCCGACAGAGCUGGGCGAGACGGCCUCGACCCUGUCCCUGGGCCUGGAGUACACCGCGCCACAGCUGCUACCCCGGCACGACAUGGACGGCGCCGCGCUGAGCGUGUGCACCGACGGGCGGCACGUCACCUUCUACCUGCAGGCCUGCUCUGUCCAGACCGGCAUGUACAGGGUGUGCCUGGACGCGCUCUCCGUCGCGCCGCUCCUGACGGGCGAUCUGCACGGCACAGCGCGCAGGCUGUUGGGGAACGACGGCUCCCCGACGGCCGCGCUCUGGAGGAAGGUCAGCGACGGAUUCAGCCGGCGCAUCUUCUCGGGUCUAUGCCGUGAGCACGGCGUCGUGCCGGGACGAGCCCCCACCUUCAUGUCCCUCCCGAGCGACAUCAUGGCGGCGAUCCUGGAGAGGCUCGCCGACGGGAAGGACCUGCUGAGAGUGGAGAGCACCUGCACCGAGCUGAGGAGCUUCGUGGCCGACCGGGACCGCCAGCUCUGGAUGCCCAGGUACAAGGCGCUACGGUUGAACUGGCUGUGGUGGUGGUGCUGGUCGCUCGGCGGCGACAGCGAUUCCCACGACGACCUGCCGGAGACGAGCACGAGCUGGAAGGAGAUGUUUGUGCGGGCCACGCGACGGAGGGAACAUUGGUUUCUUCGUCCGACUCGUAUCCUCAACUCACCGCGGUUUUCUAUCCUCGAUUCAUGGAAUUGGCAUUUUGGAUCCGAUUCAUUUGAGCUGCCGGUGGAUGCCGCUGCCUACUUUGGAGAGAUGAUGCCGGAGGGCGACGGGGGCAAGAAUACCACCGGUCGCCACCAUGGCCAUGGUAAGGCGCCGGCGACAGGCGGCCACAAGAAGCAGAAGCAGCAGGGUCGUCGCACCCGCACCGGCACCGGCGCUAUCCACUCUCCGUCUGCUAGGUACCGAUGGAAGCACAGGUGA
rnacentral:rRNA from 1 species